CAAGUCCUUAAGGAAGUGCAGCUCACUCUGAGGUGGAGGGAGGAUUCGAAGCCGGCGCCAACGCAGAGAUGGAGACAGCGGAACAAAAGGGAAGCGGGUGGAGGGGGCUUCUGCGUGGGGCGGGGGUCUCGCCAGGCCUCAGGAAGGAGGCUGGCGCCGAGGCAGAGCCAGGAGCUGCCCCCGCCGCGGAGAAGGGCCGGGCCUGAGAAGGGGGAGGGGAGGCCCUGGAUCCUGAAGCUGGGUCCUCGAGAGCCGCUCAGCCCCGCGGGCCUGCGGGCCCCGGCUCGGCUCGGCUCGGCUCGGCUCCGGUUUCGGCUCGGCUCAGCUCGGCUCCGGCUCCGCGGCGGCUGCUUCUGUGGUUUCCGAAUGAAGGCGCCUGACUCAAGGCCGCCAGAGGAAGGCGCAGAGCAGUGGCUGGCCCUGACCGGUCCUGCUGAAUGGCUCCCCACCCCUCCCCCGCCCAUCACUGGCCGGGAACGAGACUCAACUGUCACCAAGGAGUCUGGUCCACAAGAGAGGCGGCAGGUCCUUUAUCCCCUGGACACCCAAGUGCAUCCUGAGAUCUGAAAAACAAAGCCGGGUUGCACUGGCUUUGCAAAUCCAAGAUUCCCAGGAAUUUAUGGAAAGUAUUAUCAGCAUGCAGGAGGUCACGUGUGCCAGCGAAGGAUCCUGGGACUGGGUCGUGGUUGUGUGGGCACCUGAACCCCCUGAACAACGGCCGCUGUGGCCUUGGUGACAUGACAUAAACUGAGGUAAACAUCAUGACCGACACCUCUCCUAAGGGGCUAACGAUGCCAAGCCGACCAAUAGACACUGACCACGGCAGAUGCCCCCUGCCCCCGAAUCCUCCAGGAACAGAAACUGAGAAGGCGGGACCCCUGGAAGCUGACAUGCUGACCCCAACAGAACCCAGGAGAAAUGACUGGCAGUCAUGUCGCUGUCUGCGGGCAUCCAGGCCCAGGAUCUGGGCUGGGGCAGCGAGGACUGGGAGGGUCCUGGGGAGGCUCCACU